rnacentral:rRNA from 1 species
UAUUUUAAAGAGAGUUUGAUCCUGGCUCAGGACGAACGCUGGCGGCGUGCCUAAUACAUGCAAGUCGAACGAACGGAGGAAGAGCUUGCUCUUCCAAAGUUAGUGGCGGACGGGUGAGUAACACGUGGGCAACCUGCCUGUAAGUUGGGGAUAACUCCGGGAAACCGGGGCUAAUACCGAAUGAUAAAGUGUGGCGCAUGCCACGCUUUUGAAAGAUGGUUUC